GGCAGGCCCAGGGCUGUGCCCCGGCAGCAGCAGCACAAGGAGCUGAGGCGGCAGGGCGGGCCCGUCCGGAGGGCACAGGGGGAUGGCGGCCUGAACGCCAGUCCCUCACGCCUUGCACCCGAAUCUUUCCGUUCCUAGAGUUCGUCACACGCCUCUCUCUGCCGUUCCCCGUUUCUGCCAGCAAAGGGGAAAACUUGAGUUCACCCGGAGCCCUCAGUGAAGCUCUCGGUGCCCGGCCCGGAUCCCCCCUGGGCUGAAGGAGAAACCCUCGGGGCUGCUGAGCCUCGGGCGCUUCAUCGGGCAUCGGCCUCGGGAGGAAUCAAGUUUUCUUUGCUGGAAAAACGUGGGGAACAGCAGAGUGGAGUCCAAAGUGUUAGAGGAAUUCCUGGAACAGAAGGAUUUGGCGCCCGGGGCUGCGGCUGUGCACACACACGAGAUGCAGCAGAACUCCUCCGCGGGGCUCAGCCGGGUGCGUGAUUCUGGUAACAUGGGUCUGGUGCCUCUCCUCCCUGCCGGCCCGCAUUCCCUGCGGAUGAAAGCCACGCGAUCCCAGCCGCCGCCGUUACCUGCCUCCCGCCACUGCUGCUCCUUCCUGCUCGGGAAAAGCAGCAGAACCUCCAGGUGUGUUUCCUCAGGUUGAACGCAGCUCCUGGGACACAGACCUGGCUGGCAGGGCAGCUGUGCAGGGGCAGAGUCCUGGGUGCCAGCGUUUCCUGGAGCCAAGGAAGCCCAGCACCGUUCCUGCCUUUUCAGCCAUCCACCUGAAGGACUCUCCUGCCAGGAAGAGCUCCCACAACUCCUGCUGACAGACAAGACUUUUCAGGAAAAAGCUCUUUGAUUUUGGCACAGUCGCCCCCAGGAAUCUGAAGUUUGAGGAAUGAAGGCUCUGGGAACUGAGAGCUCCUGAGGAGAGGAUUGGGAAGAUAAAACAAGGGGAAUUUCUGAACAAAAAUGACGUUUGCCUUUAAAAAAAUCUCUUUUUUUUGAAUGAGCUCGGAGCAUUCUGGCUACCCUACUUGCAGUAUCCACCGAGGACAAAGCCUCGGGCUAAAUGAAAUUCCUGCUUGCACAGCCCUGCAACGUGCAGAUCCUCAUCCUGAGAGGCUCAGCGUGGCCUGCCUGCUGCAGGGCCGGGGAGCUCUGCUGCUGGAAAGCCCCGGCUCGGGAGGAAGUCGGGAGCCCGCGCCACGCUCCCAGGAAAAUGUGAAAAAUGCGCGGGGAAGGAAAAUUUUCCAUUUUACAGAGCUGGGAGGGAACUGCAUCCCUUCCCAGCAAGGCCCUUCCCUCCCUGGCAGCCACAGCCUCACCUCACGCUGCAAAUCCCGAGCCUGGGCAGCUCCUAAGGAAAAAUCCCCGCAGGGAAAGCAAAGUCAGAGCAAGCAGCAGAGCUCCCGAGCAGGGCAGGCCUCGGGCACCACCAGCACUGAGCUGCCCUCCCUGUCCUGCCAAUAAAAAAAACCCUUACAAACAUCUUACCAAGAUUUAAUGUACAUUUAUUCUUAACACGUGGAACAUAUAGUAUAAAGAUUUCAUACUGAAUAAAUGAUAUUCAUUAAGCCAAAAAAGGAAAAAAGGGAGGAAUUUACAUCAAGUUUUUAGCUACAUCGUCUGAAAUACAAAUAUGCAGAAUUCAUCACUGAAAAAUCUCAAUUGUGUUUCUUCAUCAGGAACUUCAACUGAACCUAGAACUUUUUCACACCUCGAUUAGAAAGAAAACAAAAACAGGAAAAAAAUAAACUAUAAGUUGAUUGGCUGCUGAGACAGCAAUGACUUUAUACACAGAGACCUGUACAGCAUCCUCCAGGGAGGGAUGUCUGGCAAGAGAUUAAAUAAUUGUGUCUCGCUUUUGCAGGUCAUCAACUCGUUAACUCGUCAUACUAUAAAGGGUGGGAGGGGACAAAACUGCAGGAGUCUCAGGGUAUGUGCAAUGUACAACGUCAUAUAUAUAUACACACGUGGCAGCGCUGGGCUGCAGCUAAAGGUUAAAACCAGUUCUAAGAGGUGAUCUCAGGGUUAUUCAUACAAUCAAGGAGGAAGAGAGAAAGAGGUCAGGGUGUUGUAGGUUCACACAUUAUACUUUGGGGGAAAAGCCUUUUUUUUUCUCCUCAACAUUAACUAAAAACAUUUUUAAAAACUACAGCUUGCUGCUGAUCCAGCGUUUUUUUCUUUUUUUUUUUUAUCCAUGUGAGACAUUAUUACAGUAUGUUUACAGUUUAAGGUGUACAGUACAUGGAGUUCUACACGCUACUGCACAGGCCUCCCUUGGACAAGGUCUGUUCACAACUGGUAACUUCUUGGUUCCUGCAAGAUUGUGAAUGUACAACGAUAAACCACACAGAGUUCAGCAGUCACUUUUUGUCCUUCAGAGUUUACCAUUAAAAACAGUUAUGAAAGUGGUGCCUGUCAACGGGAUAACACGGCAAGUCGUCUUUCCCCAAACUCACUGUAAACGACAGUAACUUUGGUUAAAAUAAAAAAAGUCUUCUAUGUA